rnacentral:rRNA from 1 species
CGUGCAGGUGGCUUCGUAAGUUGGACGUUAAAUCUCUCGGCCUAACCGGGAGGCGUCGUUCAAUACUGCAGAGCUGGAGGGCAGAAGAGGGGGGUGGAAUUGCUGGUGUAGUGGUGAAAUGCGUAGAUAUCAGCAGGAACACCUGUGGCGAAAGCGGCCCCCUGGUCUGCUCCUGACACUCAGACGCGAAAGCUAGGGGAGUGAAC